GCUCAGGAUGAACGCUGGCGGCGUGCCUAAUACAUGCAAGUCGAACGAGUUCUCGUUGAUGAUCGGUGCUUGCACCGAGAUUCAACAUGGAACGAGUGGCGGACGGGUGAGUAACACGUGGGUAACCUGCCCUUAAGUGGGGGAUAACAUUUGGAAACAGAUGCUAAUACCGCAUAGAUCCAAGAACCGCAUGGUUCUUGGCUGAAAGAUGGCGUAAGCUAUCGCUUUUGGAUGGACCCGCGGCGUAUUAGCUAGUUGGUGAGGUAAUGGCUCACCAAGGCGAUGAUACGUAGCCGAACUGAGAGGUUGAUCGGCCACAUUGGGACUGAGACACGGCCCAAACUCCUACGGGAGGCAGCAGUAGGGAAUCUUCCACAAUGGACGCAAGUCUGAUGGAGCAACGCCGCGUGAGUGAAGAAGGCUUUCGGGUCGUAAAACUCUGUUGUUGGAGAAGAAUGGUCGGCAGAGUAACUGUUGUCGGCGUGACGGUAUCCAACCAGAAAGCCACGGCUAACUACGUGCCAGCAGCCGCGGUAAUACGUAGGUGGCAAGCGUUAUCCGGAUUUAUUGGGCGUAAAGCGAGCGCAGGCGGUUUUUUAAGUCUGAUGUGAAAGCCCUCGGCUUAACCGAGGAAGCGCAUCGGAAACUGGGAAACUUGAGUGCAGAAGAGGACAGUGGAACUCCAUGUGUAGCGGUGAAAUGCGUAGAUAUAUGGAAGAACACCAGUGGCGAAGGCGGCUGUCUGGUCUGUAACUGACGCUGAGGCUCGA
rnacentral:rRNA from 1 species